AUUGAACGCUGGCGGCAUGCCUUACACAUGCAAGUCGAACGGCAGCACGGGAGCAAUCCUGGUGGCGAGUGGCGAACGGGUGAGUAAUAUAUCGGAACGUGCCCAGUCGUGGGGGAUAACGUAGCGAAAGCUACGCUAAUACCGCAUACGAUCUAUGGAUGAAAGCGGGGGAUCGCAAGACCUCGCGCGAUUGGAGCGGCCGAUAUCAGAUUAGGUAGUUGGUGGGGUAAAGGCUCACCAAGCCGACGAUCUGUAGCUGGUCUGAGAGGACGAGCAGCCACACUGGGACCGAGACACGGCCCAGACUCCUACGGGAGGCAGCAGUGGGGAAUUUUGGACAAUGGGCGCAAGCCUGAUCCAGCAAUGCCGCGUGCAGGAUGAAGGCCUUCGGGUUGUAAACUGCUUUUGUACGGAGCGAAAAGGCUUCCACUAAUACUGGAGGCUCAUGACGGUACCGUAAGAAUAAGCACCGGCUAACUACGUGCCAGCAGCCGCGGUAAUAC
rnacentral:rRNA from 1 species